rnacentral:pre_miRNA from 1 species
CCGUUCAUAUCUGAGUCCAGUUGGAACACAGGUCUGAAGAACUGGACACACAAAUGAACGGUU